AUUGAACGCUGGCGGCAUGCUUUACACAUGCAAGUCGAACGGCAGCGGGGUAGUGCUUGCACUACUGUCCGGCGAGUGGCGAACGGGUGAGUAAUAUAUCGGAACGUACCGAGUAAUGGGGGAUAACUAAUCGAAAGAUUGGCUAAUACCGCAUACGUCCUAAGGGAGAAAGCGGGGGAUCGCAAGACCUCGCGUUAUUCGAGCGGCCGAUAACUGAUUAGCUAGUUGGUGGGGUAAAGGCCUACCAAGGCGACGAUCAGUAGCGGGUCUGAGAGGACGAUCCGCCACACUGGGACUGAGACACGGCCCAGACUCCUACGGGAGGCAGUAGUGGGGAAUUUUGGACAAUGGGGGCAACCCUGAUCCAGCCAUGCCGCGUGUCUGAAGAAGGCCUUCGGGUUGUAAAGGACUUUUGUUAGGGAAGAAAAGGGAAGUGCUAAUA
rnacentral:rRNA from 1 species